rnacentral:lncRNA from 1 species
GCAGGAGCCGAAACUCACAGUCCCUCAAGGCCUAUAGCCAGGUAAGAGCCCCUGUUCAUUUUUACGUUUCCUUUGAUCACUUCUGGACCCUCUCUUUGCAUUCCCCCCUAAUGACUACAUCUGUGUUUACCUCAGCAGUUCUUUUCCCAUACCCAUUCUUCAGCCUUGUGGUAGAGAUUCUUUGCACUCUUCUUAUCUUGCCUUUCCUCUUUCCAUCUAUCCUUUGUUACUUGUGUUCAGAGAACUGCAAAUGGUUCUGUUUUGUGUAGGAUGUAGGGGGAUGGUUGGAGAUGAGGGUGGAAAGGUGGUUUGAUGCCAGAGCUCAGAGGACUUGAGAAGUUAGGGGAAUGAGAAGUGAUUAAGCAAGGCAUCGUUAUGUAGGUUUCUGUGUGGGUUAUGAGGUCAGACUGGUCCUGGGUUAAAAUGGAGAGUAGAGGUAGCAGGGAGUCAGCAUAGCAAAAGAGGCCCUGAUUUACGCAGGUAAGGAUUUUCUGGUGUUCAGUGUCCUCAGCUAUAAAGAAAGCUUGAAUGGAUAAUUUUCCCCUUCCUUUCCCCCAUCCCUGUGUUGUCAUCCACCGUGUUUUCACAUGAAAUGAUUGCUUUGCUUAAAGUGGGGUAUAGGGCUUAGGGUGCUAUUUUGUGACCCCUCAAUAUUCAGGGGCAGCCUCUGAGGAACUUCAGGAAAUUUUAAGCCUUCUGAAAUACAGUUUAAAGUCACUGAUUUAUAUAGUCUGAUUCCUAGCAGCUUUUGAGAUGGUUUUUCUCCUGCUUGUCAGUGUGCUCCUGUCAUUUUCCUUUCCCCUACAUGUCAAAACAGCAAAACAGAUAAUGCGAUAUUCACACCAGCUUGCCUUUAAAGGCUCCAAAUCUUGGGCUGAGAAAAAAGGAUUCUGGCCACACAUUUCCUCUCUUGGUCUAUGAGUCACUCACUGGAGGAAUUCCGCAUAAGGCAGCUUACCUGACAGUUGGGCUAGGUCACGAGGACAGAUCAGAGAGAGGGGUGGAGUCUGAGCACGCCAGGCCAAUGGCUCAGUUGUUGGGCUUACAAGUACCUUGACUGUAUCGCCCACAGGUGAUGGAGGACGAGGAGAAGGCAGUGGACACCUUGGUGAGCAACAUGGAAGCUGCUCAUUCUCCAUCCCCCAUCCGCUGCUGCUGGCUCCGCCUCCGCUACCUGGCAGCUACUAGCAUUAUCUGUGGCUGCUCUUGCCUGGGAGUCGUGGCCCUUGUGUUUGCCAUCAAGGUGAGGAAUGCAAUUCCUAUGGGAGCAGGGGGGUGGGUGUAGUUAGGCAAUGGUUUGGUGUAUCUGAUCUAUAUCUACAGUGAUCACACAGUUACUAAGUACUUGUCAGAGCUUGGCUCUGGGCCUGCUGUCAAAGGGCUCACCGUCUAAUGAAAGAGAGAACUGCGAAAAUGGAUAAUUAUGACUGGAAUGCAGGUCAUCAGUACUGUGACAGAGGAAAUACAAGGCACUUGGGGAGCUAGGGAGUGUACGUACGUGUGAUUACACACAUGUGUAUAGUAGAGUAGGUGACAGGAAAAUAACCUUAGGGAAUGAGUGACUAAAGGUGAAAGGGCGUUCUAGGUAAAGGGAACAGUGUGUACCUGGACUAUUAGUUCUGCAUGACUGGACCACUGAGGAAUAGUGACAGAUGAAGCCAGAGGGCCCAGAUUCCCAAGGGCUUACAAUGCUGUGCUUGGAGUUUAAACUUUAUCUUCAGAGUACUGAGGAGUACUUUUUUUUUUUUUUUUAAUUUUUUUUAACGUUUAUUUUUGAGACAGAGACAGAGCAUGAACGGGGGAGGGUCAGAGAGAGAGAGGGAGAUACAGAAUCUGAAACAGGCUCCAGGCUCUGAGCGGUCAGCACAGAGCCCGAUGCGGGGCUCGAACUCACGAACCGCGAAAUCAUGACCUGAGCCGAAGUCGGCCGCUUAACCGACUGAGCCGCCCAGGCGCCCCCUGAGGAGUACUUUCAAGAGUUUUUGGAGAGGAGAGUGACAUGGUCAGGCUUGUGUUUCAGUGAGAUCUGCUCUCAAGGCCUGCAUGGAAGAUGGAUUGGAAGGGGCAGAACUCGAGGCAGUUGAGCAGUGAUUAGAGUGAUCUGUAGCAGUUGGGAAGAAGCUGUGGAGUUUUGGAGAGGGCUUCACCAUUUCCAAACACCUAACCAAAACUGCACAUGGACCUUUUGAAAGGCCACACGGGAUAACUUAAACAUCAUGCUGGAAUUUUCUCAAUCCUAGUUGGAUAUUAAUUAUCAGAAACUGUAUUCUUAUCAUCAUGAGAAUUUCUGGGCUUCAUUAGGUCAAAAUCAUAAACAGAAUCCUUAAUAAUGAGAGAGUUGAGAUUCAUGGGGCUAAUACGAAUGGAGUGUUGUUUGACUGGACGUGGAGGUGGGGGGGCGGGGCUAAAUACUCCAAGAUAGCUCAUUGUUUCUUGCCGAGGAUUCCAAAUUCUGAAUGAACCUGGGAUGAGUAGAAAAAGAUAGGGAAUAAAAGGAUUGAAAAGUACUUUCCCAUAUGUGAUCUUGUGAGCUAACAAUGGCUACUUGGAGAAGUACACAGAGCAGAGUGGGUACUUGCUUUGCAGAUGAGGCUUGAGAGAUAGACAUUGGAAAGGGAGGUUAGGGGUUUGGGUGUCAGGUUUUGAGCCAUGACAAGGAUGGAGGAUUGGUGUGGGACAAUGGGUACUUUGGGUCAGAAGCAGGGGGAGAACCUAACCAAAAACCUGCCCCCACAGGCGGAAGAGCGGCAUAAGGCAGGCCGGUCCGAGGAGGCAGUGCACUGGGGGGCCCGGGCCCGGAACUUCAUCUUGGCCAGCUUUGCCGUCUGGCUUGCUGUCCUCAUUCUGGGCCCUCUGCUUCUGUGGCUGCUCUCCUACGCCAUCGCCCAGGCUGAGUGACCCUGGGUGGCCUCUGCUGAGAGUCAGCGAGACCUCCUGGAUCCUGCAGUGCGGCAUUGCUAGGGUCUGGGGUGAGCAGUGGUCCUUCCUGGCUGGAAGGAUGGUGCCUCUCUCAAAGGGCUUUGGAAGAGCUCUUCUAGACCUUUCUAAAAGGAGGCAGCAGCUGAGACUGAUGAGGGGAGGCCAGCCUGCUCUGUUCUUUCAGUGCCCACCACCCCCUAAUUCCCCCAGCCCAUCACAUCCUAGGGGCCUCAACCCAGAGGUGGGGUUGAAAACCAGGCCUGAUUUUAUUAGAAUUUGUUUUGUAAUAAAAAGCUUUUUUAGUGGUGAAAUGCUCCUGUCUAAUUGUUGUUCCCCUACUUUCCCCGGGUUCUUGGCGAGAGCCAGACUGGACAUGUGACCGAUGGCAAAAUCUGCAUUUCCCUUUACCUAGGCACUCCGAGAGAAAGAAAGGAUUUUUUUUUUUCUUUCUCUCCACCCCCUCCCUUCUCCUGGUGGUUUCCCUUCUUGGAAACACCCCAGCUUCUCCCGUGCACAUCAACAGAGACCCUGUGGCCAGAUAGGAAGAGUAAUAGCAGCAACCACUAUUUACUGAGUGCUUACUAUGUUCCAGGCUGUGUUCUAAGCACUUUAUAUUUCUUAACUCCUUCAGUCCUCACAGUUAAUCGAUAGCAGGUACCAUUAUUUACAUUUUAUAGCUGAGGAAACAAGCACCCAAUGUCACCCAGCUAGUGAGAGGCAGAGCUGGGAUUGAACCCAGAUAGCUUGCUUCCAGAGUCGAAAGAGGAAUGGAAGGGUUGGAUAGCAGUCACAGGUAAGUCUCUGCCCUGUGUGUGAAGCUUUGUAGGAUUAUAAUGAAUUUUCAUAUCUUGGGCCUCAUGGUAAUCUUAAACAUAUUUUAUUUCAAAUUUCGAAGUAUACAUGCAGGAAAAUAUCCCAAACAAAUACAGAGUUUAUAAACUAACGCAAAGCAAACAUCUGAAAAUCACCAUUCAAUCAAGAAAUUGAACAUUGCCUUUACUCCAAAACCUCCUUUGUAUCCCUCCCAAUACCACUCCCUUCCUUUUUUCCCACAGGUAACUACCAUUCUGAUAAGUUUGUGUUGUUUUUUUUUUUUAAGUUUAUUAUUUUGAGAGAGAGAGGGCAUGAAUGGGGGGAAUGGCAGAGAUAGAGAGAGGAUCCCAAGCAGGCUUUGCACUGUCAGGGCAGAGCCCAAUGUGGGGGUCAAACUCAUGAAACUGAGAUUAUGACUUGAGCUGAAAUCAAGAGACAGACGCUUAAUCGAUUGAGCCACCUAGGCACCCUCCAUUCUGAUUUCUAACAAUGGAAUUUAGUCUUGCCUGCAUUUAAGCAUUGUAUAAAUGGAAUCAUAUGUAUUCUUUUCAUAUCUGGCUUCUUUAACAUUAUUGCUGAGAUUCAUUAAUAUUUGGUUCAGCUAUAGUUUUCAUUACUGUAUGGUAUUCCAUUAUAUGAAUAUAUUACAUUUUAUCCAUUUCCUGUUGGUGGACUUUUGGGAUGAUUACAGUUUCGUGAUGUUAUGAAUCAUGCUGCUGUGGACAUCCUUGUACAUGUCUCUUGGCGUACAUGUGCUCUGGGAAUUGAAUUUUUGGAUUAUUUCACCAUAAUUUAGAGACCAGCAGAGCACGUAAAUGAAUUAGAGAUAUUUGUUGCACACCGAAGAGAGAAGAUUAAAGAGAAGAAGAGGCACAUGAUGGUUGUCUUCAGUGUUCUGAAGUGCUCCAGGAAAUAAAAGUGAAGAGACUCUAUUGUUGGUCCCAGAGGUUAGAGUUACAGCAAUGGAUAGAAGCCAUACCUAGGGCACUGGUGGUCAAUCUUGUCUUCACAAUAAAACUGCCUGGGGAGCCUUAAAAAGUACUUAAUGCCUGGGCUUUUGUCCCUAGGGAUUCUGAUUUAAUUGGUGUAAGCUGCUGCCUGCACAUCAGUAUAACACAUUUUAGAUUUCAUAAAGAAACUUUUUUUUUUUUUUUAAUUUUUUUUUUCAACGUUUAUUUAUUUUUGGGACAGAGAGAGACAGAGCAUGAACGGGGGAGGGGCAGAGAGAGAGGGAGACACAGAAUCGGAAACAGGCUCCAGGCUCUGAGCCAUCAGCCCAGAGCCCGACGCGGGGCUCGAACUCACGGACCGCGAGAUCGUGACCUGGCUGAAGUCGGACGCUUAACCGACUGCGCCACCCAGGCGCCCCAUAAAGAAACUUUUUUAAAGGUAAUAUUUCAUUAAUCAUUUUCAGUUUCUAGAGGAAACUAUCCCAUUCCCCCAAACUGAUUAAAUGAGGUCUUGCUAUUUUUUAAAAAAAAAUUUUUUUUUGAUGUUUAUUUUUGAGAGAGACAGAGACAGAAUGCGAGUGGGUUGGGGCAGAGAGAGAGGGAGGCACAGAAUCCGAAGCAGGCUCCAGGCUCCAAGCUGUCAGCACAGAACCCGACAUGGGGCUCGAACUUAUGAGCUGAGAGACCCAAACCAAAGUCGGACGCUCAACCGACUGAGCCACCAGGGCCCCCAAGGUCUUGCUACUUUUAAACUCAAUUUUGAAAAAUUUCAAGCCUACUGAACAAAAGAAUAGUACAAUGAACUCAUGUGCUCUUCACCUAGAUUUAUACUUUUUUAACAUUUCACAUUUGUUUUAGAUCUUUCUAAAUGCACAAACUGUUAUUGUGGAACCAUUUGAGAGUAAGUUGAAGGCCCUUCUUUCCUAAAUACUUACAAUUUAAAAAAAUGCUUAUUUUUGAAAAAGAGAAAGCAAGAGUGGGGGAGAGGCAGAGAGACAGAGAGAAUCCCAGGCAGUUUCCUUGCUGUCAGUUUAGAGCCCAAUUUCUUGAACUGUGGGAUUAUGACCUGAGCUGAAAUCAAGAGUUGCUUAACUGGCUGAGCCACUCAGGAGCCAGUGUCAGUUUUAAUGUAAGUAUGGUCCCAGAUUGUUUUUUAGUUCAAUUUGUUAGAUUCAUUACUGUCAUCCUUAAAAUGUUUGGUUGAGGUAUAAUUUAUAUGAAGUAAAGUACACAGAUCUUAAGUGUGCAGCUUGGUGAACACCUCAUAUGAAGACCUCUAUAUAAUCACCACCUAGGUGAGUAGAACAUUUCUAGCACAUCAGAAGGCUCCCCCAUGUUCCUCUCAGCCUCAUUAAUCUUUGUGUUCCUGGUUUUGACCAGUGGAAAUUCCUUCAACUUGGUUCUUGUGUCCUGCUAUGUCUCCACAUUUCUUCACUUACUUUCUGGCCCAAGCCUGGGAAUUGGCCAUUUCUCCCAAGGAGUCCUGGUUCCUUGAACUGAGGACUAUUACUUUAAAAUGACUAGAGUAGAAGUGCCUGGGUGGCUCAAUCGGUUAAGUGUCUGACUUUGGCUCAGGUCGUGAUCUCACGGUUUGUGAGUUGGAGCCCUGUGUAAGGUUCUGUGCUGACAGCUCAGAGCCUGGAGCGUGCUUCAGGUUCUGCAUCUCCCUCUCUCUGUGCCCUUCACCCACUCACGCUCUCUCUCUCUCAAAAAUAAACAUUUAAAAAAAUUAAAACGACUUAGAGUAGCUGUACUCAUUCUUCUGGGAUGUUAUUGCUUUUAGGCCCUUUUAGAGAUUAGAGCUAGAACACAUCUAAUUUUAUCUGUUUUAAAUCUAUUUUUUAAGUCAUACGAUUUUAAUCAGUCAUAAGGUUCUUUCUCCCCUUUCACCAUCCCAAAUUCCAAAUUCCCACAGGAAGAAACUUGGCUGCCAACUACAUCAACAUGUUUAUUCAUUUGCCCAAUUUCUGAAUAAUUAUCCCAUUAUGCUACCAAACAGCCUACUAAAGUUAAGUUCAAGGUUUCUUUGCGAUUUUGUUCAGACUGAUGGUAUAAAGUCAAAGUACUCAGUUAAAAAGUUACUUGGAUUUGUUUUUCUCUUCUAUGGUUGUGAUCCCAAAGUGACAUUUCUAAGAUAGUUGCUAAAGAUUAAAUGAAUUCAUUCUGUGCCUUUUUUUUGCUGGAACAUAACCUCCACAAGGGUGAGGACUCUCCCCCCCCCCCACUGCUGAUAGUCUAGCGUUUAGACGCUCAGCAAAUAUUGAAUGAGUAAGUGAAUACCAGGGUUGAGCUAUGCACUGAAAAGGCUUAUGAAGUAAGUUGCUCCGGGCAGUAUCACACACAAUUUGGCAGACUUAGAACAGAGUGUGAUAAUCCCCCAAGGCUUUUAAGGAGGCGGUGGUGGAAGACUGGAAAAUGUAUAACCCCAAAUGGUGAGCACGAGGGCUUUGGAGAUACUGAAGAGGCGCAGCAACCAGAGGACUAGGAAGCCUCUUCUGGUUGACAGGCUCUGACUCGUCCAAGUCCUCAUCCAGUGGCACGUGGGGGUCCAAGCUGCAUGCUCUGAGCAUUUUUUUUUUAAGUUUACUUUUGAGAGAGCAAGUGCACAAGCGGAGGAGAGACAGAGAGAAGGAGACAGAUGACCCUAAGCAGCCUCUGCACUGACAGCAGAGAGCCCAAUGUAGGGCUUGAACUCACAAACCCCUGAGAUCAUAACCUGAGCCGAAGUCAGAUGCUCAACCGAGCCACCCAGGCGCCCACUCCGAGCCUUUUAAAAGCAGGGAAGUGACUUCUCAAAGCAGGCAUUCCUGCUGCCAGGCUGCCAAUAUAAAAGUUUUAAAAAGAGCCAAAUUCAGAUAGUGAUGCUAGAAGGAAAGGAAGGGGCCAUGACCAAGUCCGGGAACCUGAGACGCAGCUAGUCCCGCGACCCAGAUACCCAGAAGCCACGCUUCCGGGUAAACCUAACUUCCGGGUACCGUUGGAAGCCUCCAAGCCCUCUAGACAACGAGCUCCGCCCCCUGCUGUCCCCAGCAGAUCCUGUGCACUAAUUGGCUGCACCUGAAGCCCCGCCCUAGCGUCGCAGCCUUCGGUAACUCCGAGCUCCAACGCCCGCGCCAGCCUAGGGACUCCCCGCUUCCUAUUGGACUACGAACUUCCAAUCGGAAGGGAUUUUGAAGCUCAGUCUUCAGGCGGCGCUGACCACUCGCCGACAGGAUGGGGGCGGGGCCUGAGGUCGUUGCCGGCGCCGCCCUGGGAGUAAGGUAAGGAACUGGAGGCGAACCCGGGACAGAGAGGCUUCGCGUUGACCCUGGCUUCUCUCUCAUCACCCGCGGGUGAGCCUGCGCGAGACCCCACGCCCCCUCCCAGUGCCCGCCCAAGUGCGCCUGCGCAGCAACAGCCACCUGCCCGUGUGCCCCUUCCUUCCUUCCUUAGCACCUUUUCCCUUCCCCUCCCCCGUCCCCCUCCCUGCCCUGCCACCCUUCCCGCCCCCUAGGCCCUUUCGCAGGGUCUCCCCAGUCCUGAUCCUUCCCCCACCCCGUCCCUAUCCCCCAGGAUCCUGGCGCCCCAGCCGCAAGGGCUGCGCCUCCGCGAGCCGCGAUGUGUGUCCUCCCAGAGCCUGUGGGCCUCACUGCCCUCCCUACCCUCCGUUUCCUCCACACAGGCCCCCACCACCUUCAGAAUGACGCUGGACGUGGGGCCGGAGGAUGAGCUGCCCGACUGGGCAGCGGCCAAGGAGUUUUACCAGAAGUACGACCCUAAGGACGUCAUUGGCAGGUGAGGCUUCAUUCAGCCAGAGAGACAAAGUUCCAGAGAGAUGAGGUCCUAGCCAGAAUACACGAUUCCAUUUGAGGGCUGGAUAGUUCUAAAUGGGAAGGAACAGUGGUUAGUGGAGCAACAUUUGGUGACUAAACUCUUUUUCUGAGCCAACCUCCAUUUUUUCCAAAUUCACACAUUUAUGUGUUCAGCAAGCAUAGUUGAAGUAACUUACUGUCGGCCAGACAUGAAGCUAAGCACAGGGAAGGUAGAAGAGUUGUUUGUCCUCCAAAUGAAGUGACUGAAAGAGACACAAAAGACGUUCAAGUAGUAUCAGGCUGUGUAAAUAGUGUGAUGGGGCUGAUAAAACCACAGCUUCCCCCUAAAGGGGGAUGUUUGGGUCUUGAAGGAUGAAUAGGAGUUCAGCAUGCAGAGAAUAGAAGGAAGGCCUCACUUGUAGAGACAGUGCAGAUACACUUACUCAUCAAAGAUUUCCUAAGCACGUAUAGUGUGCUGGGUGCACUGUUUGAGGCACUAGGAAUACAAGACCCACAGGUUUUCUGUUUGCCUGGAGUAUAUGCUAGUGGUAGAGAUGGAGGAUAAACACAAAAACAAGAUAAACGUCAUCAUAUGCUGGGAUGAUGGAAUGAGAGUAAUUAAUGGGACUGAGACUUGAAGGAUGGGAAUGAACAGCUUGUGAGCUGAGAUAGGAUAUAUUUGGGGCAGAAGGAACAGCACAUGCAAAGGCUCAGGCUAGAAAGCGCCUGUUCAAGCAAUAGAUAGAAGAUCAUGGUGGCUAGAAUGUAGUAAGAGUGGCACAAGGUGGAGGAAAUUAAGUUGGAGAGGAAAAUAGACAUUAGAUUAUGUAGGGAUUUAUGCCAUGAUAAGACAUUUAGAUUUUAUUCUAGUGAAAUUGGUGGUUUCAAACAGGGCAGUAACAUGAUCUGAUUUACAUAUUUUUGAUUUGGGGGUAGGAACUUAAACUUUCCAUGCCUCAGUUUCUCCAUUUAGAUUGGUUUAUAAAAAUAGACCCUACCUUGUAGGUUGCUGUGAGGAUGGAAAGAAUAUGAUACACUUUAAAAAAAAUUUUUUUUUCUUUACAUUUAUUUUUGAGAGACAGAGUGAGUGGGGGAGGGGCAGAGAGAGAGGGAGACACAGAAUCCGAAGCAGGUGCCAGGCUCUGAGCAAGCUGUUAGCACAGAGCCCGACGCGGGGCUCAAACCCACUAACCGUGAAAUCAUGACCUGAGCCAUCGUCGGAUGCUCAACCGACUGGGCCACCCAGGUGCCCUGAUACACUUUUUUUAAAUGUUUUAUUUAUUUUUGAGAGAGAGUGUGCGAACAGGGGAGGGGAAGAAAGAGAGGGGGACGAAGGAUCUGUGCUGACAGCAGCAAGCCUGAUGCAGGACUCAAACUCAUGAACUGUGAGAUGAUGAUCUGAGCCAAAGUCGGACACUCAACCGACUGAGCCACUCACGUGCCCCUUAGUAUGAUAACUCUUAGAACACUUCCUGGCAUAUGGUAAGUGCUCAACACAAAUGUGUUAUUACAUUUAAAAAAGGUUAUUCUGGUUCUUGUGUAGAGAAUGGAUAGGAAAAGGACAAGAGUAGAUGUGUAGAGAUCAGUUAGGAAGCUACUGAUGGAUUCAGGCUAGAGAUGGUGAUGUUUAGAAUAGAGGAGCGGUGGUAGAGAUGGGGAGAAGUGGAUAGAUUUAGGUGAUGAUUUGAAGAGAGACUUGAUAGUUUCCUGAAAGACUGGUUACGGACCAUGAGGGAAACGGAAAGAAGCAAGAGUAACGUCUCAGGUUUGGAUUUGAGCACCUGAGUACUGUUUACUGAAAUGAAGAAGUGUGAGAAAGAUCAGAUUUCUGGCAGGGGCAAGCAAGUCAGGAGUUCCAUUUUGGAAAUACUAAGUUUUGAGAUAUCUACCUGGAGCUGUCAAGUGGGUACAUGUGUCUGGAAUUGGAGAGAGAGCUGGGCUAGAGCAAUAAAUCAGAGGCGUUAGCAUAUAGAUAGUAGUUGGUGAGAAAAUAGAAACGAAAGGGGGCCUAGGCUUAGGCCCUGAGGCCUGUCACCAUUAAGGGGUUACAGAAGGAGGAGUCAGUAAGGGAGACUAAGAUAUAAGAUAGCACCUGUGAGUUAGAAAUAAAAGCACAAAAAGAAUGUGCCUCUGGAAGGUUGGCAUGGUCUGCUGUGACCCAUGCUGCCCAGGCCAGGAAAGCAGACAGGGGUGUGGCUAUUAGGUUUGUUCAGACUCUUUUAAAAUAUAUCACAUGGAGGGGCGCCUGGGUGGCGCAGUCGGUUAAGCGUCCGACUUCAGCCAGGUCACGAUCUCGCGGUCCGUGAGUUCGAGCCCCGCGUCGGGCUCUGGGCUGAUGGCUCGGAGCCUGGAGCCUGUUUCCGAUUCUGUAUCUCCCUCUCUCUCUGCCCCUCCCCCGUUCAUGCUCUGUCUCUCUCUGUCCCAAAAAUAAAUAAACGUUGAAAAAAAAAAAAAUUUUUUUUAAAAAAUAAAAUAUAUCACAUGGAGAUGUCACAAAGGCCUUUGGGAUCAGGAAUUCUGGAGAGGACUCAAGGUUUGAGACAGUGUAGCAGGAGCCAAUUGCACAGUUGGUAUUUAAGUCCCCUGGGACUGGUUGGAGGUCAUCAGGGGGGAGAGAGUGUCUGGAAGAGAAGUGAGCUGAAAUCCAAGUCCUAAGCUGACAUAGGGUUUCAGGACUAGAUAAGGGAGGAUUCACCGAGGCUGGGAAGAACCCUUAGGGAAGGACAGUGUUUCCACUGCCACAGGGUACAGAAAGACCCAUUUUGGAGAAAGCAGGUCAGAGGGUAGGGCCCCUGUCAUCUCAUUCUGGCAUUACAGUAGUAGCAUCAUCCCUGGUCUCUACUGUCUUUUCCCUGCAUAGUAAAUUACCUGCAUACUUUUACUGAAUGACUUUUCCCAGAGUACCAGUCUAUUCAUGUAUAAAGGCAUGAAGCUUUAAAAGAGCUUGAUGCAGUCUAGAAAUUGAUAAGUUGUAAGUCACUGAAAUAAAGACUGAAUAGCAGAGUAAUAGCCAAAGAUGAGGCUGAACAGAAACUGAGACCAUUUCUGAGUGAUGGGUGAAGGAACUGGGAUUUGACUUCUAUCUUGCAGGUAAUAGGGAUGCAGUAUGGAGAGAAAACAAUUUUAAGUGCACUCCACAGUUAACUAUAAGGUUGGAAUUCUUAGGUCUCAUUUCAAAAGAGCACAGUUGUCGGGGCGCCUGGGUGGCGCAGUCGGUUAAGCGUCCGACUUCAGCCAGGUCACGAUCUCGCGGUCCGUGAGUUCGAGCCCCGCGUCGGGCUCUGGGCUGAUGGCUCAGAGCCUGGAGCCUGUUUCCGAUUCUGUGUCUCCCUCUCUCUCUGCCCCUCCCCCGUUCAUGCUCUGUCUCUCUCUGUCCCAAAAAUAAAUAAACGUUGAAAAAAAAAUUAAAAAAAAAAAAAAGAGCACAGUUGUUCUAGGGGGUCCCACUAAGGAAUAAGGGAACUGUUAGGGAAUUUAAGCUGGAAAACUUCAGCAAUGAAUGACAUGAUUUUUAUGACAGGACUGUCAUAAGAAGCUCAUUCUGGAAGCAGUGUGGUGGAUGGGUUGCAGUGGCUGAGACUGGCAGCAGGGAGAUCAGUGGGGAGGCUGUUAACAGCUAUGGGGGUGGAGAAGUAGGAAACAGAAUUGAAAAAAAACACAGAAUGGAGUGGACUGGUUGCAGGUGGUGGAUUGUGAAGGAGAGGAAGAAGCCAAGAACUGUACCAGGAUUUCUAGCUUGGGAGUCUGGUUGAAUGGCAUUGCCAUUUAGUGGAGAUCAGGAAAGUGAAACUGUGAAGUGGCCAAGAGUAAGGCAGUAGGUGUGGGGAGCACUGCGGCAGCUGGACGGGUCUUGUCCCACUUAAGAUGGGAAUUCAUUUUGAAAAGAACAAGAAUACGCUGACCAAACAGCGCACCUGGCCAGAGGGUCAAUAGUUUAUAUCUCUUGAUGGAACUAGAGAUGUGGUUGACAGGCAUUCUAAGCAAAGGGAGUUACAUAAGGGCAAGGAAGCCUUGAGAGCACGGCAGUAAAGUUAUGUGGAGGGCAGCCAGGGAACCAACAUAGGAAAUGUGGUGUGAGGGCCGAUCUUGGAGAGAUUUGCACUUAGCCUGAGGUACUUGUAGGGUCAUAUGCAAUUGGUGACAGAUUCCCAGCAAUGAAAUACCUAAGACUUUCUCUUCACCAUGCCAAAUGGGCUUUUCUGCUUCUAUCUCCUUAAUGUUUUUCAACAUCUCUUCAAGAUGUUUUUGGCCACGUUUCAGAGCCGGCAAAGUGGAAGCCCAGAGACCUUAGGUCAUUAGGUUACAUGGAAGUUAAUUAGUGGCAAAUUUGGGGCCUACACCAAGGUCUCCUAAUUCACAACUUUGGUCUUCCAGUCAAUGGUCCAGUAUUUAUUUGGAGCCCCUUGCACUUGACGUAUUUUAGGAGAACUUUGGGAUUUGGGUGGGGUAAUCAGCGAAGUGUGAGUAAAAUUUGGAGUGAGGUUUAGGUCAUUUCUUCCCACUUUCUCCUUGUGGGGUUCCAGGGCAAGCAAGAGCAGGCUCUGGAGCUCAGUGUGGAAAAGACUUGCCUAGGCUUAUCCACGGAGGGAGUGGCAGAAACUGGGUUCAAACCCAGGACCUCCACCUGCCUUCUCUGUGAGAUUUGUGUUGCACCUUGCUGGGUAUCCAGGUUGCUUGCUGAGGCUACUGUGAAGCUACUGUAGAUCAGAGCGAGCUCCUCGGGAGGCAGCCUUGUCGCCCAGAUGGAUCUUCGGAAUCUGGUGCAGUGGGUAAGAGGAUGCCGAGGCACCACUCUGCGUGAAAAUGACAGAGCAGGAGGCCUGACUCUUGUGCUGUCUUACUCUGGCAGAGGAGUGAGCUCCGUGGUGCGCCGUUGUGUUCAUCGAGCUACUGGCCAUGAGUUUGCGGUGAAGAUCAUGGAGGUGACAGCUGAGCGACUGAGCCCCGAACAGCUAGAGGAGGUGCGAGAAGCCACGCGGCGAGAGACGCACAUCCUUCGCCAGGUCGCCGGCCACCCCCACAUCAGUGAGGCUGCCUUCCCUGCUCCUGUUAGCUGACAGCCACCUCCUGCUGGCCCUGCCCAUAGCCCCAUUCCCCCCACACUGCCUCCAUGCCUCUGCU